ensembl:lncRNA
GGUGAUGGACAUAACUUCUAAAAUUCUGGUUUUUUUGCCCAAGAGCUCAACAUCCAUCACUGGCAGCAGAUGUAAUCAGUCCCCCUCCCUGAGGGCUGAACCAAGCACAUCUGAACGGGUCUGGGCAGCUGGGAAAGGGCACCCACAUUGGACUGACUGGGGUUGGAAGAACACCAGCAGGGAGAGGAGUCAGAAGAGCUCAAAGUGUGUAGCUGACCCACUAGGAAGCCCACAGAUAAGGCACAGAAGCCCAUCUCACUCAAGCCCACAGUCAUGUGGAAGGAAAUGACUGCACGGAUGAUGGUGGCCACCAACAGGCCCUGUACCCGGGGAGGAAUGGUUUGUCUCAAAGAUUAUCCCAAGAUAGCAGGCUACAGAUCUAAGAGAGUGGAUCUUGUUGUUGAAAUUCCAGGCACUAUGAUUCGUAUGCAUGUCCAUCCUGGAAGAAACAAGAUGGUCACUGAGGCUAGAGAUGUGAAGAAGCCAUUCAGUCAGCAAGGGAAACCUGUCAUCUGACUAUGUUCCUGCCUAUGCUGCCACCGUGUUCAAGAUAGAUGAGAGCUGCCCAAACGGGGGAGAAUUCACACACAAAGCAAGAUAAUGCUGCUAAUCACAUAGCCCUGGGAAGCAAAUGAACUACCAUAGAACCCAAGAACAUUAAAGACAAGAAUCAACUACUGGAUAACGUACAGGAAGUUGUAGUUAACUAAUCACCAAGUCUGGUGGGAAGCACGGUGAUCCUGAUUUUUGAUAAGAAGCUUUGACCCAGGCUUAUCUGUUUAUCUGUCUAAAAAAACAAAAAAACAAAAAAACAAAAAACAAACAAACAAAAAAAACCAGCCUUGUGGGUGAAUAACUUUACCGGCCAAGUAAUGAUUAAAGGCAUUCUAGAACUGAGAGAAACUCUAGGAAAUUUAAUAAUAAUAAAAAAAAAAAGGUUUCAUGUGAGGCAGAACUCAUUCAACCUACUGACUUAUAGAUAGCAAGUCAUCCAUUCAAAUAGUUAAAACUUCAUAAGGCUCCAAAAGAAACUCUGCACACAUGUAAUAGCUAAUUCUGCUUAACAACAUUUGAAAUAUGACCCUCGUCAGAGAUUAGAAGCAGUCUAAUUAGAGCUGAGUGUUGAUAGGCUUAAAGUCGAGCACCGCGGUUUGUAAACGGGUCUUUUUGGACUGCAAAGUCAGGGUCCUGUUGUUUGGAAAUAAUAAAGUUAAGAUAGACGCAUCUCAAAAAUCCUGUUUCUAAAACGCUAGGCCUGGGUUGUACAUUGAGCCUUUAUCUUUGUCAAAAAAAAAAAAAAAAAAAAAAAGAGAGAGAGAGAGAGAGAGAGAGAGAGAGAGAGAGAGACAGAUACUGCUAUAAUUACCAACAGCAAGGGUUUUGAUAUCUAUGAUUUUAGAGAACAAUGUUUCUGAGUGAAUAGGAAAGCAGCAGCCACUCAGAGAAGGGAGUGAUUAUGACAUAUACAGCUGCAGUAUGUCCUCAGAAGACACCGCAUCCUGUUAACUCCGCAGCUGGCUUUAUCCGUGCCUAUUACCCCAGCCUGAUGAGCAGCUGGGCAGAUUUUUUACCUUCUUGGUUUGAGCUAAAUUUCACUUUCCCAUGGCAAUCCGAAAUGCCAAACGCUGUAUGAAGUGUCUGGCAGACAUUUUACUUAGUCUCUGCAGCGAUCCUUUGAAGCAAGGGCUAGCCUCCUGUUUUACAGACGAGGACAGCGAGCGAGGCUCGGGGAUUUUGAGAUGGUUAACACAAGGUCGCAGAGGAACCCCCCGGAGCAAUCUCAGAUCUGGGCCAGGCUUAUUCUAGUCCUUCCUUUGUCCUCCUUUUCUCCUUUUCCUCUUCUUUAAAGCAUCUCUUCUCCCCUUUUUUUGAAAAUUUGCUAUGUAUCCCAGCUGGCCUCACACUUGGUAUAUUUCUCUCGCUGCAGCUUCUCAAGGGAUGGGUUAUAUAGGUGUUAGCGACCAUGCCCGCCUCUAGCCUACUCUUCUUAACAUCUAUCCUUCAACCCUACUCAAUUUAAAAUAGAUAAAACCAUGGCAGUUUGUAGGGAGGUAGAAGGCUCAUGUCCUAUAGGAUCACAGUGUGGGGACAGUUUUCUGCAGGUCAGUUUGGCAAACAAUGUACAUUCUAACUUAGCAAUUAAUCUAAGGAUUUAAGAAAAUAAUCUCCAAGCUGCAUGGAGGGCCGUGGUUAUAGAAUUAUUAAAAAAAAAUAAACACAAAAUCCCUGAAACACUGUAAACAAACUUGUAUAAUACUGUGUAAAGGCAUCUAACCAUUAAUGAUGAAAUUAUAUUGUUCAGCAAAAGAUACCAGAGUACCAAUAAA